rnacentral:rRNA from 1 species
ACAUGCAAGUCGAGCGGGGAAGGUAGCUUGCUACUGGACCUAGCGGCGGACGGGUGAGUAAUACUUAGGAAUCUGCCUAUUAGUGGGGGACAACGUUUCGAAAGGGACGCUAAUACCGCAUACGCCCUACGGGGGAAAGCAGGGGAUCAUUUGACCUUGCGCUAAUAGAUGAGCCUAAGUCGGAUUAGCUAGUUGGUGGGGUAAAGGCCUACCAAGGCGACGAUCUGUAGCGGGUCUGAGAGGAUGAUCCGCCACACUGGGACUGAGACACGGCCCAGACUCCUACGGGAGGCAGCAGUGGGGAAUAUUGGACAAUGGGGGGAACCCUGAUCCAGCCAUGCCGCGUGUGUGAAGAAGGCCUUAUGGUUGUAAAGCACUUUAAGCGAGGAGGAGGCUACUUUGGUUAAUACCUAAAGAUAGUGGACGUUACUCGCAGAAUAAGCACCGGCUAACUCUGUGCCAGCAGCCGCGGUAAUACAGAGGGUGCGAGCGUUAAUCGGAUUUACUGGGCGUAAAGCGUACGUAGGCGGCUUUUUAAGUCGGAUGUGAAAUCCCUGAGCUUAACUUAGGAAUUGCAUUCGAUACUGGGAAGCUAGAGUAUGGGAGAGGAUGGUAGAAUUCCAGGUGUAGCGGUGAAAUGCGUAGAGAUCUGGAGGAAUACCGAUGGCGAAGGCAGCCAUCUGGCCUAAUACUGACGCUGAGGUACGAAAGCAUGGGGAGCAAACAGGAUUAGAUACCCUGGUAGUCCAUGCCGUAAACGAUGUCUACUAGCCGUUGGGGCCUUUGAGGCUUUAGUGGCGCAGCUAACGCGAUAAGUAGACCGCCUGGGGAGUACGGUCGCAAGACUAAAACUCAAAUGAAUUGACGGGGGCCCGCACAAGCGGUGGAGCAUGUGGUUUAAUUCGAUGCAACGCGAAGAACCUUACCUGGUCUUGACAUAGUAAGAACUUUCCAGAGAUGGAUUGGUGCCUUCGGGAACUUACAUACAGGUGCUGCAUGGCUGUCGUCAGCUCGUGUCGUGAGAUGUUGGGUUAAGUCCCGCAACGAGCGCAAC